UACGUAGGGGGCUAGCGUUGUUCGGAAUUACUGGGCGUAAAGCGCACGUAGGCGGCUUUGUAAGUUAGAGGUGAAAGCCCGGGGCUCAACUCCGGAAUUGCCUUUAAGACUGCAUCGCUAGAAUUGUGGAGAGGUAAGUGGAAUUCCGAGUGUAGAGGUGAAAUUCGUAGAUAUUCGGAAGAACACCAGUGGCGAAGGCGACUUACUGGACGCAUAUUGACGCUGAGGUGCGAAAGCGUGGGGAGCAAGCGGG
rnacentral:rRNA from 1 species